rnacentral:lncRNA from 1 species
CUCUCAGCCAACAUCUUUAUUUCACACCUCCAUCACAGCGCCCGACCUCAGCGCAUCCCCCACCCCAAACCAGGGCUCGGGAGGGGGGGACGCACCAUCCCCUAUCUGCAUCAAUAGGUCCGGCAGCCACCUUCACCCCAUCAAAUGGGGGGGGGGAACGACGACGACGACGACACACCGUGGGACCCCCCCCGGGGGCAUUCCCAGCCCAGUCAGUGCAUCUUGCAGUGCACGGGGUGCAGCAGGGCCAUGUGCUCGGCCCCUUUGAAGGGCAGCUUCUCGGUGGAGUAAUAAUGCACGACCUCGGGGACGCUGGCGAAGCCCCCGCUGGCCUGGCUCAGCGUGUACUUAUGGUCCUUGGUCUGCGCCACCAGGAUGUGCACGCAGCCUUGGCUGGUCUUGAGGGCAAUGGAGUACUUCCCACUGCCGCUCUCGCUGGUGCGCACCAGGUACCCGGCUUCCUUGCACGCCUGCAGCCGGCUCUCAGCCUCCGCACGGGUGAUGGCCCCGUGGUACCACGGCUGCUUCUCCAGCGACACGGCGGGGUCCACGCGCUCCCCCUCGCUCUGCUCCGAUGGUUUCACCAUGCGUGGGGUCCAACUCUUCUGGCGGAGGUGCUGCCGUGCUGCCUCCUCCCGGGGCCGCUCAGAGCCCUCAAACUGAACCGACAGCGCCUUCACGAUCUGCUCCUUCUUCCACUCCCAGGGCUGCUCAUACUCAGCCGCCGGGCGCUCAUCAGCCCCGGGUUCAUAGGGGGUGUCGUAGAGCUGCGGCCCCCGCCCCACCGCCUCGCUGCCCCCCCCGACCUUCUUGGCCACCUCCGCUUUGCCCCCCGCCUCAUCCAGCAGCAGGAGAGCCUUCACCAGGGGGUCUUUGGAGCCGCGGCGGCGGACCUCUGUGAUCAUCUGCUGUGCGUCGUAGGGCUCCAUGUAGCCGUCGUUCUCCCCCAGGCGCUCGGCAUCCCGCUGCCCUUUGGUGCGUUUGGCAUCGUAGGGGUCGGCGUAGUCCUCCAGGAUGAUGACCGUCUCCGUUUUGGGGUUCUUGCCCUUCUCCUCGGGCGCGGGCCCGGCGCUGGGGUAGCCCUUGGGGUUUUUCUCGUGGGCUUCCACUUUGAUCAGGCGGUUGAUGUACGUCCCGCAGCUCCGGGGGGGUCCCUCGGCCGCGACCCCCUCCACCUUCGAGUUUUUGCGCAUCCUCCCGGCGGCGGCUUGCAGCAGUCCCUGCAGGUUGUCCCGCGACAGACGGCCGCCCCCGUCCUUGCCGGCCCCGGGGGGGUACGCGGCCCUGCAGCCCCCCACCUCCGCCGCCGAGUUUUUGCGGCUUUUCCCCGGCGGGGCCCCCCCGGGAGGUUCGGUGCCCCCCAGGCUCUUACGGGCGGUGCCUCCCGGUUUGUUCGGCCGCGCUUUCUCCGAGCCCGUCCUCAGGUUGGAGGGGAACUCCUUGAACCAUUUGGCCGCCAUAGGGCCGGGGGCGCGCCCCCCCCGGGGCCGGCGGUGGGGUCAGGGCCAGCGCAGCUCUCCCCCCGCCCCGAGCACCGGGGGCCGCUCCGAGCGUCCCUCGCCCCGACGGGGACGGGGUCCGGCGGCGCCCCCGGAGGUCGGGGGCGGAGGGGGGGGUCCGGGCUCUGCUCCAGCGAUGGGCGCGGGGGGGGCUCUGCGCGGCUCCAGCCCCGGGCGGGGGCGGGGGGGGGUCUUCGGUCGGCGCUCCGGGGCAGCUCCGCGCUGAGUGCCCCUCGAGGGCGGCCGGGGCCGUCGCGGCUCCGCGGUGGGGGCGAUCCCCGGGAGUGCGGCUCGGUCACGCCGGCCCGGGGGGCCCCAUGCGACGGCGGCGGGACGGGACCGGACGGGACGGACGGACGGACGGAGCCCGGCGGGGCUGGAAGCGGCCGGAGGGGGGCGGCGGGGCCGGAGCUCCCGCCCAGAUCCGGAGGGGGCGGCCCCGGGGGGGUGGCGGGGAUCGGGCCCGGCCCGACGGGGCGGCUCUGCGCGGGGCACCGCGGGGCGACACGAGGGGUCCCCGUCCGGUGGUGGCCGAGUGGGGUCUGGGGUAGGGCGGGCGGGGGCAGCGGGAGCACCGAUCCGACCCCACGAUCCCUCCCC